AUAAUCUAACCUACAUUUUAAUUAAUAACAUUGCAACAUUGACGUUUCUUUCGCAUGCGCAGAUUGUACGGAGUUUAGCCCUUUUAUCUCAACGUCUCUAUCUGUGGCAACUUCCGCCUACAAAAAUUCUUACCCCCUCUACCAUUAUAUUCCCUCCAUUAGUUUUCUAACUCAAUGAUAUUAUUAUACCACAGUCAAUAAGUACCAAAUAGGUGACAGCACUAAUCCUCUUCAUGACCUUCCCUCUCUUCCAUUUGGACUCUUUUCCUCUCAGGGUAUACACUAAAACUGUAAUGGCAACGCUGCCAAGGGUGUAGAAGGUUAGGUUUUUACAUGCUGUACAUGUACCUUAGUUGUAAUGUUCAUAAAAGUAUAAAAGUUGUUAAGUAUUACAAGCAAGUUGAGGUUAGAUCAUCACGUGUCACGUUUUUGUUCAAGUAUUCAAGUUUUUUUUAAGUCUCAAGAAUGGAAUUAUAUAAAAUACCCAAUAACUUAAGUUUACAAGGAAAUCUAGCGGAAAACUGGAGAAAGUUUAAACAAAGUUUUAAAAUUUUUAUGAAGGCAACCGGGAAAGAUGCUAAAGAUGGUGAAACGAAAGUGGCUAUAUUCUUAAAUAUCAUCGGAGAAGAGGCCGUAGAAGUUUUUAAUACAAUGUUUAUAAGUGACGAUGACCGCAAGGACAUCGACAAAGUUAUCGAAGCAUUCGAGGGUUAUUGCUUGCCGAAAACAAAUGUGGUGUAUGAACGUUUCGUUUUUCAUAAAAGAAAUCAAUGUGAAGGUGAAAGUUUUGAGCAAUUCCUAACUGAUUUAACGAAAUUAGCAAGUACCUGUGAUUUUAAAACCCUUAAUGAAGAAAUGAUACGCGAUCGUGUUGUUUUGGGAGUGCAAGAUUUAAAUUUACAAGAAAAGUUGUUGCGAACCGAGGGCUUGACGUUACAGAAAACUGUUGAAAUAUGCAAAGCAUUCGAAAUAACAAAGGAGCAAAUGAAGCAAAUCAAGGACCCACAACUGCGAAGUGUAAAUAAAAUUGCAAACAAGAAGCCAAUGGAGAAAACGGGUAACACCUCAAAUCAAAGUUCGAAUCGCAAAGAAGAAUUUAAAUGUAAAAGAUGUCAAAGAACUCAUGGACCAAGGGAGUGUCCCGCAUACGGAGUUCGCUGCAGGCUUUGCGGAAAUCUUAUAGCGUUUUCGGCUGAAUAAACUGCGAGUGGGCAAUUCGCACCGUAUUGACGUCACAGAGUGCUCUCGAUUCUGAGAGAAAUCAAUCGCAGCCGAACACGCCUUUAACUUUGAGAGCGCGAAAUUUAUACUACUUAACCUCACAUAUAGUCACGUUAACCGCCGGAAAAGAUGGAAAAAUAUUGUAUAUUUUUAAAAAUUAACGAAGUUGAAUUUACUUUAUCACUGGACCAAGUAACAUUUAACAGUUUAACCGCUAAUCCCACUGACUUACUCCCUGAUUACAUCAAAGUUUUGCAAGAAAAUAAUGCUCUGCAAGAAAUUAAUGAAAUACGAACACUGGCUUUUUCACUUCACAAUAA